GACGAACGCUGGCGGCGUGCCUAAUACAUGCAAGUCGAGCGAGCGGAACUAACAGAUUUGCUUCAGUAAUGACGUUAGGAAAGCGAGCGGCGGAUGGGUGAGUAACACGUGGGGAACCUGCCCCAUAGUCUGGGAUACCACUUGGAAACAGGUGCUAAUACCGGAUAAGAAAGCAGAUCGCAUGAUCAGCUUUUAAAAGGCGGCGUAAGCUGUCGCUAUGGGAUGGCCCCGCGGUGCAUUAGCUAGUUGGUAAGGUAAAGGCUUACCAAGGCGAUGAUGCAUAGCCGAGUUGAGAGACUGAUCGGCCACAUUGGGACUGAGACACGGCCCAAACUCCUACGGGAGGCAGCAGUAGGGAAUCUUCCACAAUGGACGCAAGUCUGAUGGAGCAACGCCGCGUGAGUGAAGAAGGUUUUCGGAUCGUAAAGCUCUGUUGUUGGUGAAGAAGGAUAGAGGUAGUAACUGGCCUUUAUUUGACGGUAAUCAACCAGAAAGUCACGGCUAACUACGUG
rnacentral:rRNA from 1 species